CCCAGAUGCUGGUGUGUACGUGUGCAUAUAAGCCCCAACAGCUAGAAAUCAAGCCUUUCUGGCUUCCGAUUGUUGGAGAAGUGGAAACAGUUAAUGGAGUAUGCAAUGAGAUUCUGCCAGAAACGGAGUAGAAAAACUGUGGCUCACCCGGGACCCAGUCUUUCCCCAGGUUCCCCACAGAUGAGCUCUGAAUCUGUUAUAAUUGACUCACCACGACCUGCAUGUACACAUGGAAUUCCUCAUGGCAUCCUUAGAUCUUUUUUGCCACAUCCUUUUGCUCUGACUCGAAGAG
rnacentral:lncRNA from 1 species